UAGGGAAUCUUCCACAAUGGACGCAAGCCUGAUGGAGCAACGCCGCGUGAGUGAAGAAGGUCUUCGGAUCGUAAAACUCUGUUGUUAGAGAAGAACAUGCGAGAGAGUAACUGUUCUUGUAUUGACGGUAUCUAACCAGAAAGCCACGGCUAACUACGUGCAG
rnacentral:rRNA from 1 species